AACGAACGCUGGCGGCAGGCCUAACACAUGCAAGUCGAACGCUGUAGCAAUACAGAAUGGCAGACGGGUGAGUAACGCGUGGGAACCUUCCCAAUGGUGCGGAAUAGCCCAGGGAAACUUGGGGUAAUACCGCAUAAGCCCUUAGGGGGAAAGAUUUAUCGCCAUUGGAUGGGCCCGCGUCGGAUUAGCUAGUUGGUGAGGUAAUGGCUCACCAAGGCAACGAUCCGUAGCUGGUUUGAGAGAAUGACCCGCCACACUGGGACUGAGACACGGCCCAGACUCCUACGGGAGGCAGCAGCGGGGAAUCUUGGACAAUGGGCGCAAGCCUGAUCCAGCCAUGCCGCGUGAGUGACGAAGGCCUUAGGGUUGUAAAGCUCUUUUGCCGGGGACGAUAACGACGGUACCCGGAGAAUAAGUCCCGGCUAACUUCGUGCCAGCCGCCGCCGUAAAAC
rnacentral:rRNA from 1 species